CAGCCUCGCCGCGAACCUCUGCGGCGGUAGCAACUUCCGGAGCAUCCUCCCCCUCAUAGUCUUCGAUCACCUCCUCUGUAAUGCCUUUCAGUAGAGGGGGUGGAUCGGCAGCAAAGUUUAGGCUCAGCUUCUGCCCAGGGUUGAACCGCUUGAAACGGUAGAGAAGACCCACCAUCUCCGAGCCCACUUCAUUGUCUAGUAAGGCAGUGAACUCGUCAAACGGACGGUAACCCCUGAUCGCCUCCCGAACGGCAGCCUCAAUUUCUACAGCCUUUGCC
rnacentral:lncRNA from 1 species